rnacentral:rRNA from 1 species
UGGGGAAUAUUGGGCAAUGGGCGAAAGCCUGACCCAGCAACGCCGCGUGAGUGAUGAAGGCCUUCGGGUUGUAAAACUCUUUGGACAGGGACGAAGAAAGUGACGGUACCUGUAGAACAAGCCACGGCUAACUACGUGCCAGCAGCCGCGGUAAUACGUAGGUGGCGAGCGUUAUCCGGAUUUAUUGGGUUUAAAGGGAGUGUAGGCGGUUGGUUAAGCGUGUUGUGAAAUGUAGAUGCUCAACAUCUGACUUGCAGCGCGAACUGGCUGACUUGAGUACACACAACGUAGGCGGAAUUCAUGGUGUAGCGGUGAAAUGCUUAGAUAUCAUGAAGAACUCCGAUUGCGAAGGCAGCUUACGGGAGUGUUACUGACGCUUAAGCUCGAAGGUGCGGGUAUCGAACAGG